GGAUGUGAGGGCAAUCUGGCUGUGACAUCUGUCACCCCAUUGAUCACCAAGGUUAAUUUGAUGAUCUGGCGGGUGUCCCCUUCCUCCCUCACAGUUCCAUGUACCUCCCUCCAAAGCUGCGGGCUGGGUAGAAGAGGACGACCUUCCCUGUUAGAGGAGGAGUGAUCUUCAGUCAAGGGUAUACCUGUAGCUGUGCUCCCCUGCUAGAACCUCCAAACAAACUCUCAUAAUAGGUGACAUAUUAAAUCCAUGUUAAAACUCAAUUUGUAAAAUACUAUGCCUAGUGUAUGUGUUUCUCUUU
rnacentral:snRNA from 1 species